AUUGAACGCUGGCGGCAUGCUUUACACAUGCAAGUCGAACGGUAACAGGCCGCAAGGUGCUGACGAGUGGCGGACGGGUGCGUAAUGCAUCGGAACGUGCCCAGUCGUGGGGGAUAACUACUCGAAAGAGUAGCUAAUACCGCAUACGAUCUAUGGAUGAAAGCGGGGGACCGUAAGGCCUCGCGCGGUUGGAGCGGCCGAUGUCAGAUUAGCUAGUUGGUGGGGUAAAGGCUCACCAAGCCAACGAUCUGUAGCUGGUCUGAGAGGACGACCAGCCACACUGGGACUGAGACACGGCCCAGACUCCUACGGGAGGCAGCAGUGGGGAAUUUUGGACAAUGGGCGCAAGCCUGAUCCAGCAAUGCCGCGUGCAGGAAGAAGGCCUUCGGGUUGUAAACUGCUUUUGUAAGGAACGAAACGGCUCUGGUUAAUACCCGGGGCUAAUGACGGUACCGUAAGAAUAAGCACCGGCUAACUACGUG
rnacentral:rRNA from 1 species